rnacentral:rRNA from 1 species
GGAAAACUUACCAGGUCCGGACAUAGUGAGGAUUGACAGAUUGAAGAUCUUUCUUGAUUCUAUGGGGGGUGGUGCAUGGCCGUUCUUAGUUGGUGGAGUGAUUUGUCUGGUUAAUUCCGUUAACGAACGAGACCUCGACCUGCUAAAUAGUUCGGCAAAUUCUUCGGGAUUUGUACGUGACUUCUUAGAGGGACUAUCGGUGGUUAGCCGAUGGAAGUUCGAGGCAAUAA